rnacentral:lncRNA from 1 species
AAACAAGUUCGACAUUGGCAAAGGUGAGGACUUUGUUUGGGUGACUAAGGAUGAAUUGAUGGAGUAUUUUCCUGAGCAAGCUGAGUUUUUAAACAAAAUGAUCAUUAGCUGAUGACAGUGGAGAUGGUUGUUUAAUCAAAACUAUUACCUGGUUCAUUGAAUUUUGAAAGAAGAUGAAUGUAACAGUUUACUUGGUUCAUUGAAUUUUGAAAGAAGAUGAAUGUAACAGUUUCUGGGAUCAACAAAAGGUGUUUGAAUUAAAAUUAGAUUUAACAUCUCAGUCUGAGGCCAUUAUUUAGAAACUUAUUUCUACUUGUCAGCCGGGGUGUCAGCUGUAUUU